rnacentral:rRNA from 1 species
UGGGGAAUAUUACACAAUGGGCGCAAGCCUGAUGCAGCCAUGCCGCGUGUGUGAAGAAGGCCUUCGGGUUGUAAAGCACUUUCAGCGAGGAGGAAGGGUAGUGUGUUAAUAGCACAUUGCAUUGACGUUACUCGCAGAAGAAGCACCGGCUAACUCCGUGCCAGCAGCCGCGGUAAUACGGAGGGUGCAAGCGUUAAUCGGAAUUACUGGGCGUAAAGCGCACGCAGGCGGUUUGUUAAGUCAGAUGUGAAAUCCCCGCGCUUAACGUGGGAACUGCAUUUGAAACUGGCAAGCUAGAGUCUUGUAGAGGGGGGUAGAAUUCCAGGUGUAGCGGUGAAAUGCGUAGAGAUCUGGAGGAAUACCGGUGGCGAAGGCGGCCCCCUGGACAAAGACUGACGCUCAGGUGCGAAAACGUGGGGAGCAAACA